CACACACCAGCUCUUAGAGGGGUCUCCCUUCCCUGUAAUGAGGCUGAAGUGGCCUCUGGCCACCAGCCCCUCUCUGAUGCUAUUUCAUCUCGUUCCUGUGGCACCUACCGUGGCCUGAAAUGAUCUUGCUUGUGUAUGUGAUUAUAGUUUUCUAUCUGUUCUCAAGGGCAGAAACCAUUGCUGGUUACGGUCACUGCUCCAUGCCUAGUGCCUGGCACCGAGAAGACCUUUGAUAUCCAUUUGUGGGCAUGACACUCACCCUGUCCCUGAGAGCUGGGCCCAAGGAAGGAGCAGGACCCCCUCCACUUUGUAGUCCAUGCCACAAUUACUCUGCGGCUACUUUGCAUCUGCCCUGUGUGAUCUUGAGUCCCCAGCAACUUUACAGAGCACGAAGAGACAGAGGAAUUGGGGCCUUCUCCAUGCAGGUCUCUGCCCAGCCCAGGGCCAGGAAACCUCAUAUCCCAAGAAACAAGCUACUUGGAAUCACAGCAUGUCUGAUGAAAGGCCCUCCCAAGUCAUUUAGUUCAGGCUCCCAUUUUAUAACUGAGGACGAAGGCCAAGAAAAUGGAAGUGGGUCGCCAGGUGCGGUGGCUCACGCCUGUAAUCCCAGCACUUUUGGGAGGCCGAGGCGGGCGGAUCACGAGGUCAGGAGAUUGAGACCAUCCCAUCCCGGCUCACACAGUGAAACCCUGUCUCUACUAAAAAUACAAAAAACUAGCCAGGCGUGAUGGCGGGCGCCUGUAGUCCCAGCUACUCAGGAGGCUGAGGCAGGAGAAUGGUGUGAACCCGGGAGGUAGGGCUUGCAGUGAGCCGAGAUCGCGCCACUGCACUCCAGCCUGGGUGACAGAGCGAGACUCCAUCUCAAAAAAAAAAAAAAAGAAAAUGGAAGUGGCUUGCCCAGAGGCCCAUAGCGAGAGAGUGACAGCCCUGUCCUCUCUAGCUCCCCACCCUCUCUUGGGAGCUUGGAUCUGCAGGUUGGGCUACUCCAGAGAGAGCCCACAGGGCUGAGCAUCCUGUCGUCCGUCCUUGGGAGCAGGGUGGCCUGCUUGUCUCUUAGCUGGCAUCCCUUCCCUUCCUUCUGGGGUCCUCCAGUCCCCUCCUCCUCAGACACUCCACUCCUAGGCAAGGCCUCAAGGUCACUCAUCUCCUUGCAGUCAAUCUCCCAUCCUUGGCUGCCUCACUUCCUGGGUUUACACUGCACCCUGCCCCCCGCAAGCACUGGCUCCAAUCUUCACUGUUUCUUUACCCACUCCCUAACCCUCCUCACCCCAAAAGCAGCAGAAGGCCCCUGGCUGGGCUGAGCUACACCCACCCACAUUGGGAUGACAUCCUCCAGCUCUUGUCCCUUCUGGGAUAACCAGGGGUUACCCCAUGGAAGAACACACCACAGGGAACUGGUUACCCACCAAGUUUGCAAGGGGGCUCUGGCUCCCACUGAUGGAAAGCUAGGAUGUGGAUAUUAGUGGGGAAGCAGAAUUGUGUUCUAGGUAGAGGACAAACGUGAACACGGACCUGCAUCUGGUUGGAGUGUGUAUGUUGAGGGGUGACUAGGUCCAUG
ensembl:lincRNA